AGUGAACGCUGGCGGUAGGCCUAACACAUGCAAGUCGAACGGCAGCACAGUAAGAGCUUGCUCUUACGGGUGGCGAGUGGCGGACGGGUGAGGAAUACAUCGGAAUCUACUUUUUCGUGGGGGAUAACGUAGGGAAACUUACGCUAAUACCGCAUACGACCUACGGGUGAAAGCAGGGGAUCUUCGGACCUUGCGCGAUUGAAUGAGCCGAUGUCGGAUUAGCUAGUUGGCGGGGUAAAGGCCCACCAAGGCGACGAUCCGUAGCUGGUCUGAGAGGAUGAUCAGCCACACUGGAACCGAGACACGGUCCAGACUCCUACGGGAGGCAGCAGUGGGGAAUAUUGGACAAAGGGCGCAAGCCUGAUCCAGCCAUACCGCGUGGGUGAAGAAGGCCUUCGGGUUGUAAAGCCCUUUUGUUGGGAAAGAAAAGCAGCAGGUUAAUACCCCGCUGUUCUGACGGUACCCAAAGAAUAAGCACCGGCUAACUUCGUG
rnacentral:rRNA from 1 species